UACGUAGGUCGCAAGCGUUGUCCGGAUUUACUGGGCGUAAAGGGCGCGUAGGCGGCCCUCUAAGUCAGACGUGAAAUCCCUCGGCUCAACCGGGGAACUGCGUCUGAGACUGGAAGGCUUGAAUUCGGGAGAGGGAUGUGGAAUUCCAGGUGUAGCGGUGAAAUGCGUAGAUAUCUGGAGGAACACCGGUGGCGAAGGCGGCAUCCUGGACCGAGAUUGACGCUGAUGCGCGAAAGCCAGGGGAGCAAACGGG
rnacentral:rRNA from 1 species